GAUGAACGCUGGCGGCGUGCUUAACACAUGCAAGUCGAACGUGAGAGGUAGCAAUAUCUUGAAAGUGGCGAACGGGUGAGUAACACGUAGGUAACCUGCCUCGGAGUGGGGAUAACAGUUAGAAAUGACUGCUAAUACCGCAUGAAUCCAUGGAUUGGGGACGAAUCGGUGGAGAAAACUACUGGUGCUUCGAGAGGGGCCGUGCGGUUGAUUAGCUAGUUGGUGGGGUAAAGGCCUACCAAGGCGACGAUCGGUAGCUGGUCUGAGAGGACGAUCAGCCACACGGGAACUGAGACACGGUCCCGACUCCUACGGGGGGCGAGCAGUGAGGAAUAUUGGGCAAUGGGCGGAAGCCUGACCCAGCAACGCCGCGUGGAGGAAUGAA
rnacentral:rRNA from 1 species